rnacentral:rRNA from 1 species
AGAGUUUGAUCCUGGCUCAGGACGAACGCUGGCGGCGCGCCUAACACAUGCAAGUCGAACGGACUUGCGAUCUGCACUGAGUUUUUUGUCAGCCGACGCUGAAGGGAUGCGAAGCAAACCGGAAGCGGAAGAACGGGACUGACAUAAGGCUCGACGAAAGAUUGAGUGCAGAUUGCAAGUUAGUGGCGGACGGGUGAGUAACACGUGAGCAACCUGCCUUUCAGUGGGGAAUAACGCAGGGAAACCUGCGCUAAUACCGCAUAAUAUACUCGGAUGGCAUCGUCUGGGUAUCAAAGAUUUAUCGCUGAAAGAUGGGCUCGCGCCCGAUUAGGUAGUUGGUGGGGUAAUGGCCCACCAAGCCAACGAUCGGUAGCCGGACUGAGAGGUUGAUCGGCCACAUUGGGACUGAGACACGGCCCAGACUCCUACGGGAGGCAGCAGUGGGGGAUAUUGCACAAUGGGGGAAACCCUGAUGCAGCGACGCCGCGUGUAGGAAGACGGUCCUCUGGAUUGUAAACUACUGUCUUGUGGGACGAUAAUGACGGUACCACAGGAGGAAGCCACGGCUAACUACGUGCCAGCAGCCGCGGUAAU